rnacentral:rRNA from 1 species
UACGUAGGGUGCGAGCGUUAAUCGGAAUUACUGGGCGUAAAGCGUGCGCAGGCGGUUCGUUGUGUCGGCGGUGAAAGCCCCGGGCUCAACCUGGGAAUGGCCGUUGAAACUGGCGAACUGGAGUGUGGCAGAGGGGGGUGGAAUUCCGCGUGUAGCAGUGAAAUGCGUAGAGAUGCGGAGGAGCACCGAUGGCGAAGGCAGCCCCCUGGGCUGACACUGACGCUCAGGCACGAAAGCGUGGGGAGCAAACAGG